GACAGCCAUUGACGCUAUCUCGUGCUCUUUGAUUCUUAACUAGUGGUUUGUUUCUACAUCUAGUUUAAAAAUGGCCACUCAAAAUUUAUCUGCUAAUGAAUUGAGGGAUUAUGCAAAGUUUAAUGGAAUAAAUUUUCCCCAAUGGAGGUAUGGUGUCAUGCUAAAACUCAGAAGGAAGAAGUUGGAAAAACUUGUGCUCGGACAAGAUCCAAAACCAGCAGAGGUUUGAUUUCCACUGAGUAGGAAAUAAGAUUUUCCACUGUGUGUUCUGUUACGUAAAUUUUUGGGAUCCCACCCAUAAGGUGAUGUUUGUCAUAGUAAAUGUUCAGAUUUAUAUAUUUUUGGAUACCACCCAUGAGGUGACGAUCAAAUCACAGUGAUUUU